GACGAACGCUGGCGGCGUGCUUAACACAUGCAAGUCGAACGGAAAGGCCCUUCGGGGUACUCGAGUGGCGAACGGGUGGGUAACACGUGGGUGAUCUGCCCUGCACUUUGGGAUAAGCCUGGGAAACUGGGUCUAAUACCGAAUAGGACCACGCGCUUCAUGGUGUGUGGUGGAAAGCUUUUGCGGUGUGGGAUGGGCCCGCGGCCUAUCAGCUUGUUGGUGGGGUAAUGGCCUACCAAGGCGACGACGGGUAGCCGGCCUGAGAGGGUGACCGGCCACACUGGGACUGAGAUACGGCCCAGACUCCUACGGGAGGCAGCAGUGGGGAAUAUUGCACAAUGGGCGCAAGCCUGAUGCAGCGACGCCGCGUGAGGGAUGACGGCCUUCGGGUUGUAAACCUCUUUCAAUAGGGACGAAGCGUGAGUGACGGUACCUAUAGAAGAAGCACCGGCCAACUACGUGCCAGCAGCCGCGGUAAUACGUAGGGUGCGAGCGUUGUCCGGAAUUACUGGGCGUAAAGAGCUCGUAGGUGGUUUGUCGCGUUGUUCGUGAAAACUCACAGCUUAACUGUGGGCGUGCGGGCGAUACGGGCAGACUAGAGUACUGCAGGGGAGACUGGAAUUCCUGGUGUAGCGGUGGAAUGCGCAGAUAUCAGGAGGAACACCGGUGGCGAAGGCGGGUCUCUGGGCAGUAACUGACGCUGAGGAGCGAAAGCGUGGGGAGCGAACAGGAUUAGAUACCCUGGUAGUCCACGCCGUAAACGGUGGGUACUAGGUGUGGGUUCCUUCCUUGGGAUCCGUGCCGUAGCUAACGCAUUAAGUACCCCGCCUGGGGAGUACGGCCGCAAGGCUAAAACUCAAAGGAAUUGACGGGGGCCCGCACAAGCGGCGGAGCAUGUGGAUUAAUUCGAUGCAACGCGAAGAACCUUACCUGGGUUUGACAUGCACAGGACGCCGGCAGAGAUGUCGGUUCCCUUGUGGCCUGUGUGCAGGUGGUGCAUGGCUGUCGUCAGCUCGUGUCGUGAGAUGUUGGGUUAAGUCCCGCAACGAGCGCAACCCUUGUCCUAUGUUGCCAGCGGGUUAUGCCGGGGACUCGUAGGAGACUGCCGGGGUCAACUCGGAGGAAGGUGGGGAUGACGUCAAGUCAUCAUGCCCCUUAUGUCCAGGGCUUCACACAUGCUACAAUGGCCGGUACAAAGGGCUGCGAUGCCGUGAGGUGGAGCGAAUCCUUUCAAAGCCGGUCUCAGUUCGGAUCGGGGUCUGCAACUCGACCCCGUGAAGUCGGAGUCGCUAGUAAUCGCAGAUCAGCAACGCUGCGGUGAAUACGUUCCCGGGCCUUGUACACACCGCCCGUCACGUCAUGAAAGUCGGUAACACCCGAAGCCGGUGGCCUAACCCUUGUGGAGGGAGCCGUCGAAGGUGGGAUCGGCGAUUGGGACG
rnacentral:rRNA from 1 species